AGUCCCGAAGGUCGCGGCGGCGUCGAAGUGCCCGAGGGCACGAGAGGGAAUCCGGUGUGAGUCCGGAACUGUCCCGCAGCGGUAUGCAGGAACGACCGCCGUCACCAGCACUGGACGCGAGUCCGGGAAGCGACGGCCAGUAGGUUCGCCUCACACGCGAGCGCCUGUGAGUCCGAAGACCUGCCCGCUGCGCCGGGUACGCC
rnacentral:ncRNA from 1 species